rnacentral:rRNA from 1 species
UGCAACCCGACUCCGUGAAGCUGGAUUCGCUAGUAAUCGCGCAUCAGCCAUGGCGCGGUGAAUACGUUCCCGGGCCUUGUACACACCGCCCGUCAAGCCAUGGAAGCCGGGGGCGCUUUGAAGUGCGUUGCCGCAAGGCGCGCCCUAGAGCGAAACCGGUGACUGGGGCUAAGUCGUAACAAGGUAAC